rnacentral:rRNA from 1 species
UACGGAGGGUGCAAACGUUGCUCGGAAUCAUUGGGCGUAAAGCGCACGUAGGCGGCCUGUUAAGUCGGAUGUGAAAGCCCCGGGCUCAACCAAGGAAGUGCAUCCGAAACUGCUGAGCUUGAGUACUUAAGAGGAUCGCGGAAUUCCCGGUGUAGAGGUGAAAUUCGUAGAUAUCGGGAGGAACACCAGUGGCGAAGGCGGCGAUCUGGGAAGAUACUGACGCUGAGGUGCGAAAGCGUGGGGAGCAAACAGG